rnacentral:rRNA from 1 species
GACGUAGGGCGCGAGCGUUGUCCGGAAUUAUUGGGCGUAAAGAGCUCGUAGGCGGUUUGGUGAGUCGGGUGUGAAAUCUCCACGCUCAACGUGGAGGGGCCACCCGAUACUGCCAUGACUAGAGUCCGGUAGGGGGAGUGUGGAAUUCCCGGUGUAGCGGUGAAAUGCGCAGAUAUCGGGAGGAACACCAGUAGCGAAGGCGGGUCUCUGGGCCGGAUACUGACGCUGAGGAGCGAAAGCGUGGGGGAGCGAAACAGG